AUUACAGUCAACAGGUGAUGUGGUUCAGUUCUUAAACAGGUCUAGACUAUAGAACCAACUGCCUUCUGACGGUGAUGGCUGUUUAUGGUUCAUAUUUGGAGACUUUUAAUUGAAACCAAGAAAGAAGAGAUCCUUGUAGUAAUCAGGAGAGUAUUUUCAGUCGUGGAAGGAUUACUUGAAGUGUUAGCCCCCAAAGAAUAAAACUAUUGUCAUUUUUAUUUCUCCCAGUCUCUUGCUCUUUGGGGGAUUGUUUCUCUUUUAAUUUAUUGCUCUGUGUUCUAAAAAGUGGAGCGAGAUCACAAACUACGUUUUAAAAAUGUAUUAAAUAAUAACUUAUGGUAAAUUAGUAAUACCUCUUGAAAAAGCCAGCUCUGAGCUCUCCCAUGGUGCUUCCUUGGGGGGAAGAUAACUCAAUUGUGUUGAUUUAAAGGUUCUGUCUAGUUCUUUUAAACAUUCCUAUGAUGUUGUAUUGCUCAGCUUGUAAUAGACUGUUAUUGCCCUAUAUUGAGUUUGCAGAGUGAAGGUAAAUCUUUCUUGAUGCGAUUGUGUUGCUGCAAACUCAAUAUUGUUCACAGCCCCUUUAUAACUCUCAGUUCCAUUGCAGUAGAACAGCACACAUUUUCAUUUUUACCUUUUUAGAUCUUUAUUCUUUGUUCUGAAGCUGAAAGAAUGUGUGCUUACGUACCCUCUAUAUGUGCUUGCUCUGUGAAGUGGUAACUCAGAAGCAAAGAGAAUACUGUCAGGCCUUUUGCAAAAGAAAAUCUUAAGAGCUCUACAACGAUGUAUGAAGGAAUUCAAAGACACAUAAUUUAGAGCAGGGGUCCUCAAACUUUUUAAACAGGGGCUCAGUUCACUGUCCCUCAGACCAUUGGAGGGCCAUUGUAG